GAGCUCUUCAAUCAGAAAGGAAGCACCUUUUUCUACCUCUCAAUCAGAAAAUCUUCUUUGUUGGAAACGAAAGACUAAGGAGAGGAAACAAGAUAUUCUACAGCUUAGAAAAGAUCUAAAAGAAAUAAAUCUUUCGCCAGAUUCAACGACGUACUUCGCUAUAGAUUUCUAAGACAAGGUUUGUUAUGACGUUAUGAAUAUCGCCUUUGAUGCUGUUUUGAGGUUCAGUGAAUUAAUUGAAACAAUAUUUUGUCAACCUUCUCAUGUAUUUUGUAGAGUAAGGAUGUUACAUUAUUCACUCAAAUGGUUCACCAUAAUGUCAGUUGCUUCUCUUGCAUGAAAAUGGCGUAGUUAUUGUCAGUUCAGAUGAUAAUGUUGGCAUUCUAUAUCCAGAGAAGACCAUUCUAAUUCACUUUUAAGGGGAAAAAUUAUUAAAGCCUUGGCUACCUUUGAUCAUAAUAAAACUCAACAAGAAGCAUUGCACCACUUUUAGAUUUUAUUGAACAACAGAAAAAAAAGGUGUACUUCAGAUAGGUGUAAAGGUUAUUGAAUUAGAUGAAGAUUGGAUAAAUAAAUUAAGGUCUGUUUCUUUUGAUCCUGCACAUUUAGAAGGAAAUUCAAGAGAGUGACUGUUGACAAUUUCCAAUUGCCCUGUGUUUUGCAAUGACCAUAAAUAAGAGCCAAGGUCAAUCUCUUUCUCAAGUCGGUUUGUAUUUACAACGCCUUGUAUUCACUCAUGGUUAAUUCUAUGGGGCUAUUUCAAGGGUAAAGUCUAGAAAAAGAUUGAAGAUUCUUAUUUUAUAUUGUGACAGUGCUGCUGCAUUAGUUUUAGUGAGUGGAGAGAUAACAUUGAAUCUUGGUCUAAAAGUUAUUGUGAAAAUCAGGGGAUAUGUUGAU